rnacentral:rRNA from 1 species
UGGGGAAUAUUGCACAAUGGGCGCAAGCCUGAUGCAGCCAUGCCGCGUGUGUGAAGAAGGCCUUCGGGUUGUAAAGCACUUUCAGCGGGGAGGAAGGCGAUAAGGUUAAUAACCUUGUCGAUUGACGUUACCCGCAGAAGAAGCACCGGCUAACUCCGUGCCAGCAGCCGCGCUAAUACGGAGGGUGCAAGCGUUAAUCGGAAUUACUGGGCGUAAAGCGCACGCAGGCGGUCUGUCAAGUCGGAUGUGAAAUCCCCGGGCUCAACCUGGGAACUGCAUUCGAAACUGGCAGGCUAGAGUCUUGUAGAGGGGGGUAGAAUUCCAGGUGUAGCGGUGAAAUGCGUAGAGAUCUGGAGGAAUACCGGUGGCGAAGGCGGCCCCCUGGACAAAGACUGACGCUCAGGUGCGAAAGCGUGGGGAGCAAACAGG